rnacentral:rRNA from 1 species
AUGACAAAACCCAAGUUCAUGGGAGGACUCAGCUUUAGAGAUGUGGAGCUUUUUAACUUGGCUCUACUCGCCCGACAAGUUUGGAGAUUGUUACAGGAACCUGAUACGCUCAGCGCGCGAGUACUUAGAGCUUGUUAUUAUCCCGGUGCAAAUAUCCUGGAUGCCUCUUUGGGCCAGACCCCCUCCCAGGUCUGGCGAUCUCUCUUGGAAGGA